rnacentral:lncRNA from 1 species
AUAUAGUAUUAAAAAUUAUAUAAUUCAAUUUCAUCUAAACUGUUGUUUUAGGCUUUCAAUCACUUCCACAGGUCAAGGACCUAUUAAUUAGUGAUAGAAAAAGUAGGUACUUAUUUGAGAAAUCGUGUAAGAUUAGGAAUCUGAUACUAAUUUCUCAUUUUUCUUUUUCUUUUUUUUUUAAAUUUUAAACAUUUAUCUAAUCGUGUGCCUACUGUUGUUUUAUUUACCCUGAGGUACGCGCAUACUGCACUCGCGCCAUUAUAGUGUUCGGAAAACGCGGGGGUAUGUUGGGUAAUUUAGGGAGCAAUAUCCAAUCUAAGGAGAUAUUUUUGCUGAUGUGUCAGUUACAGUAGCGCGCGUUGUUGGCCCACCCUUACGCGCGAAACUGUAGGGUCAGUUUAUAGGGGUCGAGGGAGUGGCGUUGACUGGGUUUUAUAAUGGAUAUGGUCUUUCGGGCGCUAUAUAAGGGAAAAAUGUAUAUUUAGUGGGGUUUGAUGGUUUGGUUUCAUUUUCUAUUUUUUUACGCGAAGGAUCUGACGGCUAGCAUUAAAGAUGCAGAAUCUAGAGUUUGCUCGUAACAGAUUUGUUGUGUGCGGCAGAUAUCUGGCCCUUUAUUAUUUAGUCAAUACUCAAUAGGGUAAGCAGGGGCCCCGUGGAGCUCAGUUUGUUGGAUCUAAUUAAGAUACAGUCGGCUAUAGCUUACCUUUCCCAUAUGAAAAGUAACACAGCAGAAAGAUCCACAUAAGCUGCAACUUUACAUUUUCUCAAUUUGUUUGACAACAAAUGAUAAAUAUCCUCUCAUCAUUUGAGCUUUCGUGAGUUUUUAAAAAUAUUAUAUUAUUUAU